CACGUAGGGGGCGAGCGUUGUCCGGAAUUACUGGGCGUAAAGGGCGCGCAGGCUGUUAUGCGAGUCUGCUGUGAAAUGUACCGGCUCAACCGGUGCCUUGCGGCGGAUACUGCAUAGCUGGAGUACUGGAGAGGGAAGUGGAAUUCCCGGUGUAGAGGUGAAAUGCGUAGAUAUCGGGAGGAACACCGGUGGCGAAGGCGGCUUUCUGGCCAGUUACUGACGCUCAUGCGCGAAAGCUGGGGUAGCGAACCGGAUUAGAUACCCGGGUA
rnacentral:rRNA from 1 species